GCCCGGUUAGCUCAAUCGGUAGAGCGUGAGACUCUUACGAGACACACGUUCUGAUGUCGCGAUAUCUCAAGGUUGCGGGUUCGACCCCCGCAUUGGGCU
rfam:Trichoderma virens Gv29-8 TRIVIscaffold_6, whole genome shotgun sequence.